UGGCGGCCAUAGCGCGGUGGACCCACCUGAACCCAUGCCGAACUCAGAAGUGAAACGCCGUAGCGCCGAUGGUAGUGUGGGGUCUCCCCAUGCGAGAGUAGGACACUGCCA
rnacentral:rRNA from 2 species